rnacentral:tRNA from 1 species
AGGCGCGUAGCUCAGUUGGUUAGAGCGCACGACUGAUAAUCGUGAGGUCGGCAGUUCAAAUCNUGCCCGUGCCUA